rnacentral:lncRNA from 1 species
CAACUACAAGCCACAACAUAAUAUCCUUCAAUGAUCUAAUUGUCACGCCAUAAACACAAUUCAUCUCCAAAUUACAAAAACAAGUUCCAACUGGUCACUUGACUACAAUACGAAGGGCUAAUCAUGACUCAAAUAAAAGGAAUGACAAAUGGAGCGACUCUAAGAGUUUUUAAAGAAACUAAAUAAACCAUAGCAAAUCAAUAGUUCUCUUGCCACGCGAAGCAAUGCGAGGCUCACUAGAUUCUACCAAAUCACACUUUCUAGUUAAUGAAAUCCUCUUCAAUACCACCUGAGUUCUCUGUAAAAACAAUUAGCGAGGAGUGAGACGCUAGCUCAGUGAGUAAUAAACACUUAACCACAACCAUUUUUAAUAAGGGACAAGUCAGAAAACAUUGCUAGUAUAAUAAUCAAAAUCAUAUAAUAAUGUCUUUUCAGAAACAGUAACAAUAUUCAAUCUUAUUUGCCUCAUAUAAGCAAAAUCAAUGUAAAUACUUAAUAGUAAAUUCAGAAAAACAUUUCCAUAUCAAAUCUUAUUGUUGGGAGGUUUCCAAAGAUGAAUCAUGUAAUCAGUGUGGCCUUCUCUUUAAGAAGUAACCAAUAACAGUGAACUCCUCAUAAAGGAGUUAAAUAUUCAUAUCAGUAGAUCCCUACAAGAGGGAUAUCAGUAACAGUAUACUAGUUCUACCUUCCCACUAGCAAGGGCUUUAUCAGAAAUCAGUAACUACAAGGUGCACCAGGUCUAACGAACCCGCCGUUAGCUACGGGAUUCAUCAAGGUCUACUCCCAUUUAUAUUUUUCUUGUAAUCAGUAGAAGCAUUUCAAAAUCGAACAGAGCAUUUAAAUCUUAUCAAAUCAUAUCAUUUCAAAGUUUAACAAUCACUUGUCAAAAUACUAUUUCUCAAAUAAGUAUAAAACCUUUUCAAUAACAAUAAUCAUAUCUUGUAAGAAUGAGAUCAUCUCAAAUAAUCUUUUCAGUAUCAUAUCAGUAAAAGACUUGUCCCACAUGCAAGUUCAAAACAGUCGGUAACACAUUUACUUUAUAAACCAUGUAAAAAUCAUGAAAUUUGUGAAAAACAAAUUGUGGUAAGAUUACUACUCACAGUACUCAUGCCGAAAUACCAAGCUCAUCACUCUAGUGAUCCGUACGAAUUCCUUUAAUCAAUCUAUAAACACAUUCAUAUCAAUUUCGAGUUAAUCUCCUUGUUAAGGCUAAUUCAUAAACUAAGAUAAAUAUUUUUCAACCAUUUUUGGAUCUUCUUGUCCAUCAAAUUGCUAAAUUAUAAUUAUCCUAGGUCAUAAGUAAUUUUCAUUGAUGCACAAUCUCCUAACGUCAGCCAAUUUACAUAACUUGUUCAUUUACUUCUGUCCCAAAUUACAACUUACUGUCUAACUCGUUGUCUCCGAUAAUAAAACUUCAGCAUCCGAAAUAGAUUUUCUAGACUAAGAAUUUCUCAUGGCAAAGCUACUAAAGAUUGUGGCAAGGCUGUUAAGGAUCAAGGUGAAGGUGUAAAGGAAUACGAUUUACCUCAACCUGUUUAAAUCUGUUGAAUCCUUCUCUUCUUUCUAUGUAUACCCCCCUUGCUUCGCACUGCCUCUCUUUCUUCUCUAUCUAUUCAAACUGCUUUCUUCCUUUAUUAUUGUUGUACGCUGAUUUCCCAAUCCCUACUCCCUGUUCUCUUUCUUCUUCUUCUUUUUUCGUUAAUUUGCCACAGCCCUUCGCUGCUUUGGGCCUUUAGCCCACUAUUCU